UCGUUCCGCGACCCAAAAUUCUC
rnacentral:snRNA from 1 species